AUUGAACGCUGGCGGCAUGCCUUACACAUGCAAGUCGAACGGUAACAGGUCUUCGGAUGCUGACGAGUGGCGAACGGGUGAGUAAUACAUCGGAACGUGCCUAGUAGUGGGGGAUAACUACUCGAAAGAGUGGCUAAUACCGCAUGAGAUCUACGGAUGAAAGCAGGGGAUCGCAAGACCUUGUGCUACUAGAGCGGCCGAUGGGAGAUUAGGUAGUUGGUGGGAUAAAAGCUUACCAAGCCGACGAUCUGUAGCUAGUCUGAGAGGACGAUCAGCCACACUGGGAAUGAGACACGGCCCAGACUCCUACGGGAGGCAGCAGUGGGGAAUUUUGGACAAUGGGCGCAAGCCUGAUCCAGCAAUGCCGCGUGCAGGAUGAAGGCCUUCGGGUUGUAAACUGCUUUUGUACGGAACGAAAAGCCCCGGGUUAAUACCCUGGGGUCAUGACGGUACCGUAAGAAUAAGCACCGGCUAACUACGUGCCAGCCGCCGCCGUAA
rnacentral:rRNA from 1 species